UCUCCUAGACCUAUUUAAGAGCUGGCUACCAGUAAGGAAGGAUCUCUUCUGGAGAUUGGCUCUGCUGGAGUUUUGUGAGUGAGCCCAGGAUAGUGCAUGAAUGCUGAGCAACUACCAACCUAGUCUGACUUCAACUUCACGGACAUGAAGGAUAAGGCAAGAACAUGAUCUGAUGAGGAACGGAGGAACUCCCCUGCCUCGGGAUCUGCAGAAGCAUCUGGGUUACUACACAGAUGCUUUAUGAAUGCAUACUGGCACACGUUAAUGCCUCUGAACAUAAGCUGGUACACUUUAUAAACAUGCCACUGUUUUGAGUUCUAAUGAGCAAUGCACAAAUUACCUUGCUCCUCGAGUUUAUUCAUCAUGACACUGUGUGUGGUAUCAGUGAACAGCCUGGCAGUCAAGCAGCAGUAAUAAAUGUGAAUGCUGAUUAGUUUAUUUUGACUUUGAAAUUAAA